GUCUGUCUGUUUUUUGAGACAGGAUUUCUUUGUAGUUUUCGCUUUCCGUGAACUCACUCUGUAGACCAGGCUGGCCUCAAACUCAGAGAUCCACCUGCUUCUGCCUCCCAAGUGCUGAGACUGAAGGAGAGCCAGCGCCACGAUGUAGGGCAGACACAGGGGGGUCUUUAGAGAAAGAGCUAAGCCCAAAGUGUUAAGGAAGAUAAUAGAAAGAAGAGAAGGGGAAGUCGCUGUUUUCUGAGUAAUUGAGAGAAUCAGGCAGCGUUACAAAGCAGUAUGCCUACACUGUAAGAGCCUGCACGUGGGGGCAGGAAUUCCGGGGAGAAAAAAAGCAUCUCAUUAAAUGGAUAAUUAAUUUACCCAUUUUUCUCUUUAGGAGGCCUAAAAGCAGAGGUUCUCAGCCUGUGGAUCGCAACUCCCAAAAACCAGCAGAAUACAGAUAUUUACAUUACAAUUCACAGUGGUAGCAAAAUUACAGUUAUGAAGCAGCAACAAAAACUGACUUUAUGGUUGGGGGGGCACAACAUGAGGAACUACAUUAAAGGGUUGCAGCAUUGGGAAGGUUGAGAACCACUGUGUUAAAGUAGUCUACGUUCCUCAGAGUGGGCCUGUCUUCUUCAGGGCUGGUCACUGGGCCAGGAGAUUAAUUGGCCUCAGUAGAUGGUUUUCUGGAUUCAUUUAUUUCUGGACUAAUUUAUUUAUCUUUAUUUUAGAUCUGAACCAAGGCUGGGGAUUUCACCUUUCUUGACCAGAAAAAACUAGUUUUCCUUUAAUGGACCUUUUACAUCAAACUGAUAACCCUGAGUGAAAUGUCCCAAUUGGUACUAACAAAAAAAAGUCUAAGAUACCAAGUCCAUUUCUAAGAACUCCAUAAUCCUCAUUUGACUGCAUCUAUUAAUGAAAGGAUACAGACCAGGCAGAAGGACUCCAUCUACAAAGGUUGCCCUUGAUGCCGGCAGAUGCAAUAUCCAGAUUAUCUCAUCUGCAGGAAGUGAGUAAAAGAGAGAAGAGUGGAAAGGAAGAAGGGAGAGAGGGGCAGAAUAAAAAGAAAGAGAAACAGUGUGCCUUCUCUGAGAUACAAAGGAGGUGCCAACAUCCUUUGCCAACAGCAAGAGCCACAGCAAGCCUAACCUCAUAUUCUAAUAUGAGCACAUAUAUUCUAACAACCAUUCGACUGAUUGUAAUGGCACAGAUUCCGACAAAAAGCUUCUUAUAAGCUAAAUGAAAUUGAGAGAGAUGCUACAAAACAGAAGCCUGGCCAUCAGUCCUUGUGAAGGGAACAGGAUUCUCUGUGUCCUCGGAGAAGAGGGGAAGACCAGUUUGCAAGGAUGGAAUAAUCUUUACUUCCCACAGAGUAGGUAGCACACGAUAUAAAACAAAAUGGUUUAUUUAAAAGGACUAACCUGUAACAACAACACUCAGUUUUGUGAAGGCAACUCUCUGUUAUUUUACUUGGAAAAGAAUGGGGUAAAACAUAAACAUCUUCAAACAAACCAAUACAGUGGUGGUUUAAUGUAAAAUUGUUUCUAAAGACAGCAGUGCUUUCAGUGGAGCCAGUUCAUUGGGGAAAUACAUAUAUAUGUGUGUGUGUGUAUCAUNNNNNNNNNNAUAGAUAGAUAGAUAGAUAGAUAGAUAGAUAGAUAGAUAGAUAGAUAGAUAGAAUGUGCCGCUAUGAG
rnacentral:lncRNA from 1 species